GAGCGAAGACGGCGGUUGGCUCGUUCUUUUCGAUUGUAGGAAGAGCGUGGCUGGUGUUGGGGCAAUAAGGGAAUGUCCUGCCCUGGAAGAAUGAGUCUGACGCGGGUUCAGCUGCUUUCUCUUUGUUAAAACCUAUUUUGUAAUACUGCUGGCCUCAUUUCCUGUGAGUGAGAUAACUGAUCUGUAAUGGCAUCUAAAAAAAGAAAAAGACUGGGAACAUUCACUCAUAUGAGCAACCUAAUUGGGCCUGGCAGAGACUUGCCGUCUGAACUCCCAACACUGCGAGACAUUCUCAGAUAUGGCCUACUGUUAAGAGAACAAAGUAGUGAUGACGCUAGAAACUACCAGCAGCUGUUCUUGCAAGAGACAUAUACUUAAAAGUGCUUGAAAAGUGGGAACAAGCAAACAGUUCUUUUGUGACCCCUGUUGUAAAUUCAAGAGUGACAGUCUUGAACAAGAUCCGAGAGCUGGGAUCGAGCCAAAAAUAUAUCUCUUGGUAGGGGAAAGUUAGAUGUCAAAGAAACUUUCACUGUGAAACUUGACAAACUCUUUGACAUUCUCAACUGCAAGUGUCAAAUUGUUCUGUGUGCCAAAUUUGGCUGCCCUGCUAGCUGUAAAAAAGAAGCUCACAUUAACUGUACUUGCCCUAAGGAGACGAAGAUACCAUUGAAGGAACUUGCUUUUGUUAAAAGUCAGAGAGACAAGAUUGGCUCUUUUGGAUCUCACAAGAUUGGUUUGCCAGAUGUGCCUGAGCAGAAACAACUAGUCAAAAGGCAAAAGCAGCAAGACAAUGAGAUACAAAGACUCGCUAAAUAUAAGCGGAAAAGUAUUCCAGACAUUUGAAUUCUUGGUAUUUUCUUGGAAAAAUUAAUUUUUACCCCAGAGACACCUUGAUGGGCAGCAUCUAAAAAGAUUAAUGUUGAGCCAAAACUCUGCAUAUAUUAAUCAAUUAGACAAGUCAGAUGUUUUCAAAUAGCUGAAAGCAAAGGAAGGCUACUGAUGGCAUAAGUAAAUUGAGAAGCUGCAAAUUUAUUUAGCUUGUUACAUUAUCACAGUAUAUUAAUAUGGAAGCUCCAUUUGGCAGCAUCUAGCCAACACUGGCUAAUGGUGAAAAAUUAAAGAAUGAGAAGAAGACAGGAAAUCCAAAAUAAAUGCCACAAGUAGAUGAGGAAGCACUGAGGUUUGUUGCCCUUAAAAAACCUAUAUAGUUUGUUUUUCAGUGAAAUUAAAAACAAAUUGAGUUUUUCAAAGAUUACACUUUGUUAAUGCUAGAAAUGUUACUGUAAUGUACAAACUGUCAUUAAGGAAAAGGAUUAACAUUUUAAGAUUUCUAAAUAUUUAGAAGGUAUUAAAUGUAAGUUUUAUCUGCCCAUAUUCUUACCUGACAAACAGAAAGGAAAAUACAAGUUACCCUGAACUGUAAAAACUAAAAUGGAAGAAGAGCAAAAAGGGUUGUGUGGUUAGUCAGGAAAGCUAUGUUGAUCAUUAGGUAGGUGGGAAUUAUAAAUAGUAACAAGUAUUUCCCUGGUUUACUUGAAUUAACUACUUUGUGAACUCCCAUAUUUUCAUAAUAGCUCAAAGUAUAAAAUGAAACCACAGCAGUGGUGAGUCUUAUCUGAGACAACAAUGAAGAUGUUUAUAGGGAAGAGGUGAAGGCUCUGGUGGACUGAUGCAAUAAAAGUAACCUGAUUAUAAUUCUAAAU